AAUUAAUCUGCCACCUCUUUUUCUGCCAUAGAUUGCCUUCUCUUAACACAUCAACUUUAUGGACCUGGUGCAGUUCUUCAUGACUUUUCUUCAGGUAAUUUCCUUCAUAUAAAUCAUACCUGUCCUUUUGAUUAAGUCCUUAACUGCAUAAUCAGCUGUUAGCUCAUAAAAGAUAAAGGAAUAGCCAGAUGCGGUGGCACUCACCUAUAAUCCCAGCUUGAGACAAGAAGAUUGCAAGUCAAAUCAAUUUGGUAAUUUAGUGAAACCCUUUCUCAAAAUUUAAAAGUGUGAAGGGCUGGGAUACAGCUCAGUGCUAGAGCACCCCUGGGUUCAAUCCCUAGUCCUAUAAAAAUUAAAAUUAAAAAGAUAAGAUAAUAAUUCUAUGUUUCCCAACAGACCAAAAUUACUUUAUAUGUAUCCUGAAAAAUUGCGAAUCAGUUACAUUAAUGUAAACUCAGUCUAAGUUGACAAAAGGGAAAUAUUUGAUUUGCAGGUUCUGGCUUGGGGAGGCAGUUUUGCAUGUACCCUAUACUAAAUUACAGAUAAUCUGAAUCUUGGGAAGAAUUUGGCACUAAAUGUUAAUAAUGGUUACUGAUGUGAGCUACAUAUAUGCUUCCUCUUGGUUUAAGAGAUAAUUAUGGGGCUGGGGAUGUGGCUCAAGCGGUAGCGCGCUCGCCUGGCAUGCGUGCAGCCCGGGUUCGAUCCUCAGCACCACAUACAAACAAAGAUGUUGUGUCCGCCGAAAACUAAAAUAAAUAAAUAUUUAAAAAAAAAGAGAUAAUUAUUCCAGUAAUUAAUUAUGCAGUUUUGAAGCUAAAAGUGAUUUUUUUUUAGCCCCUGGGAUUCUCUCUUUUAUUUUCAUAGUAUUUCUUAUUUUAAUUUUAUUUUUCUGGAAAUACUAUUUAGAGACAAUUGAAAAAGAUUAAAAUGUGCUACCAUUCUUUAUAAGAGAAAGUAACAGCAGCCUUCCUCACACCUUCCCACUCCCUUCUCUCCCAAUUUAAAUUGUUCUGGCUGUGUUUUACCUCUCUCCAGUUAUCUCUUGAUGCCCUCUAGAAGAUGAGGGUUUACUCUUACAUUGCCCCAUCCAGCAACUCCCCCCACCCAGCAACACAAGUGGGAAUAAUUUCCCAUUUCAGCCCCAGCCUAAAUGUCUUUAUUUUUAUCCUCACAAUUUGAUUAAGAAUUUGAUUACUGGGGUUGGGGUUGUGGCUCAGCGGUAGAGCACUUGCUUCACAUGUGUGAGGCUCUGGGUUCCAUCCUCAGCACCACAUAAAAAUAAAUAAACAAAAUAAAGGUAUUUUGUCCAUUUACAACUGAAAAAAAGUUAAAAAAAGAACUUGAUCACUAAAUUUUAGAUUGGGAUUAAUUUCCCACUUAAGCUAUUUUCAAAUAAAAAUUUAAGGUAUUUUGCCACAGAACAGUUAAAAGAAUAACAGAGAUAGGUGCAGUGACAUACACCUAUAAUCCCAGCUACUUGGGAGGCUGAGGCAGGAAGAUCUUAAGUUUGAGGCCAGACUCAGCAACUUAGUGAGACCCUGUCCCAUAGUUUUUAAUAAAAGGGCUGUUAAUGUAGCUCAGGACUAGAGUGCCCUAGGUUUAAUCUCCAAUACUGGAGGAAAAGAACAAAAGCAUGUAUUAUUAUAAAACACAUUCCUCUCAAUAAAUUAGAAAAAAAGAAGUGCUCAUUAAGCCUAAAGAAAGUAUCGGAGCAGGGAGUGGCCGUGCAAGCCUGUAAUCCCAGUGACUUGGGAGGUUGAGGUAGGACGAUAGCAAGUACAAGGUCAGCCUGGGCAAUUUAGUGAGACCCUGAGCAACUUAGGAAGACCCUGCUUCAAAAUAGAAAAACAAAAAAGGUUGGGCAUGUAUUUCAUUGUUAAAGUGCUUCUGAGUGCAAUCUCCCUAGUUCGAAAAAAGUUAAAAUUGAAAAAAAAAAAAGAAAGAAGAAGGAAGUGUGGAAUGUAAAUAAGUAUAGAAAUCAAUGACCUAAGAACGAAAGUCCAGUAGACUGGAUUAAAAGGACCAUAACUUAUUUUUUUUUUCUUUUUUGGUACCAGGGAUUGCACCCAGCAGCACUUAACCACUGAGCCAUAUCCCCAGCCUUUUUUUUUUUUUUAAAUUUCUAGAUGGUCUUGCUAAAUUGUUGAGGCUAGCCUUGAAUUUGGAAUCUCCUGCCUCAGCCUCAGAAGUUGCUGGGAUUACAGGCAUGCGCCACAGUGCCCAACUGCUAAAUUGGAUAUUUGAAAAGAAUAAUAUUAUAAAUACCAAUGUUGGAAAUAAAAAAGGGAGGAUUACUCUAAAUCCUACACUUUCCCCUCAGAAAAGUAUUUAAUAAACAACUGCAUGUGAAUAAAUUUGAGAAUAUAAAAGAUGGAACAGAAACAUUUAUAAAAAGGACUAUUUACAACUUAACAAAACUGACCCAGAAGAAAUAGAAAACCUGAAUAAUCCAUGUUUAUUUCAAAAAACAAUACAUAGUUUAAAUUUUCCCACAAUGAAAACUGUCGGCCUUGUGGCUUCAUUGGUAACAUAGCCUUUUAAGAAAGAAAUAAUAUCUGGGCUGGGGAUAUAGCUCAGCUGGUAGAGUGCUUGCCUUACAUGCACAAGGCCCUCGGUUCAAUCCACAGCACCACAAAAAAGAAAGAAAUAAUAUCAAUAUAAGUAAAUCUUGAGAAAGGAUAAAGAAGGAGAGACUGCGAUUUGUGUUACGAUCUUAGCACAAUCUGACAAGAAUAUCAUAAGAAAGAAAUUUACAAGUCACUCUCACUUAAGAAUGAAGAAACAAAAUCUGUCAAUAAUAAAAAAUGCUAAUAAAUCAUGACCCUGUGGGUUUAUGUAGAAAUGGCAAGAUUGAUUUAGCAUCAGACAGGCAAUCAGUAUAAUUCACAUUAAUUGCAUAAAGGAGGAGAAUAAUAAUGAUCAUCUUCAUUGCUCAGGGAAAAAUUUAAUAAAAAGUUAAUAUCUCUUCAUUUAAAAACCUCAGAAAACUAGGAAUAGAAAGAAAUUUCUUUAAAUCUGAUGAAAGAUCUAUAGAAAGUCAGCAGCAAAAUACAUUCUUAAUGAAGAAUGAGACAGAUAUCUGCUAUCACUUCUAUUCCACAUUGUAAUGGAGGUUCUAACCACUACCAAAAUACACACAAAAAAGUAAGUAAGUACAUAAAUAAAUAAAGGUUGAAAAGGAUAAACAUCAUCAUUACUCAUGGCAUAAUUGUAUUCCUAAAAUUUCUAAAGAAUCUACAGAUAAAGCAUUAAAUAUAAUGAGAUAGGGUAGCGGGGGAAAUAGGUAUGGAGGAAGGACUCCUGCAGACAGCCUGGGAUCUGCCUCAGUCCCUGGCAUCCUGCCACUAACCGAUCGGGCAAAACCCGAUUGGUCAUAAAGAUCAAUCUUUAUGACAAGAUGGCCUUGCUCUCCAAGCCAGCUCCCACUGGUUUCAUACACGGGCACACCAGAAGAAUCUCCUGACCAAACUUGACCUUUCUACUCAUUUCGACUGAUUACCAUGUGUUGUCACCCACCCUUUAGCUGCAUGAUUUGAUGCUAAUGAAGUUGGGUAAGAUUCCAUGAAGAGUCUCCCAGAAAAGUUUCUCCAUACUGAACCCCUGCUUCUGAAUAUUCACUCUCUUAAACAUUAUAAACCACAUCCCACCUAAGAGGCAGCUCAGCUCCUAGGGUGUGUAUCUUUUGCUUUCAAACAACCUCUUCCUCUGCUACUAAAACUUGAAGUGUCCUGAAAUUCCUUUCUGUGACCAUGGUCAAGAGCCUGGAGAGUUCAAAUGAAGGUUUCCUCUGCUCUAAAGAGAGACCCCUGAGACCCCUAGCCAGUGACACUAAUAUGUGAAUUUAGUAAAGUCACUAGGCACAAAAGCAAUGUAGCUCUCUUCAGGGUCUUAUCAUAAGGGUGAUGCUGACAUGAGAACCAUGCAAUUGUAUUUCCCACAGCAAACCAUCAGGUGGCCACCUCGAGGACCCUUUGUACCAUGAAAGCAGAAAUCUCUUCCUGGGUGAUGCUGGGAGCUGAUGGUCUUGAGUCAAGACUCAUCCACAUCUUGAUGGACCCACUCUGCCUGAUAUGAGCUGACGAGAUUGAAAAAGAGACCUAUUGACAAGAUCCAGCUCGACCCUCUUAAUCAGUUUCACUUGAAAUAUGUUAUUUGUACUUCAGUUGCUAAUGCAUUUUGUUCUCCUGAGUGCCGGAGACCAAGCG
rnacentral:lncRNA from 1 species